GGAGUUGUAGCUCAGUGGUAGAGCACUUGCCUAGCAUGUGUGAGGUACUGGGUUCGAUCCCCAGCACCA
rnacentral:tRNA from 1 species